CAUAGCCUUUAGCCCCACAAGUAUUAAAGGUCCAGCCUGCCCAGUGACCCAUUCAACGGCCGCGGUAUCCUAACCGUGCAAAGGUAGCAUAAUCACUUGUCUCCUAAAUAGAGACUGGUAUGAACGGCUAAAUGAGGAUUAAACUGUCUCUUGUAAUUAACCUAUGAAACUGAUCUUGUAGUCCAAAAGCUACAAUAUAAACACUAGACGAGAAGACCCUGUGGAGCUUUAAAACCAAAGCCAAAUACAUGCCCCCUUGGUUUUUAGUUGGGGCAACUUCGGAGUAUAAACAAACCUCCGACAAACCACGAAUCAAGACAAACAAGUCAAAACCAACACUUGACCCAAUAGUCUAACCCAGACUAUUUGACCAAUGAACCAAGUUACCCCAGGGAUAACAGCGCUAUCCCCUUUUAGAGUCCCUAUCGACAAGGGGGCUUACGACCUCGAUGUUGGAUCAGGACACCCCAAUAAUGCAGCCGUUAUUAAAGGUUCGUUUGUUCAACGAUUAAAGUCCUACGUGAUCUGAGUUCAGACC
rnacentral:rRNA from 1 species